AGAAUGCCAGAAUCACCUACUGCUUACAUUUCAUUUUAAUGCGUUCAAGUUCAGUAAAAGUUUAUCAUCGCCAUUAAACCAGUACCUAUUGGAACUGAUUUCAUCUCGUUAGCACAGAGAACCACAUGAAAGGAAUCCAGUCCCCAGGACAAGAGUGUGCCAAGCACCGUUUGGGGGUGCAAAUGACGUGGAAGAAACUGAGUGUCUCCAGGGGACAGAGGACCUCUCACCUGCCCCGUGUGUGCCUGUGCGUGUGCCUCUGUGCACGCGGAUACGCGGGGCCCCACGCGCCCUGCCGCGCCAGCUCUGGCUGCCGGCCACGCGCAGCACGCCCAGGAGGCUGCCAAGCUCGGGAGUCCUCAGCUGCUCAGUGUCACAGCCCCGCCGGGCUCCCUCUCGGACCAUGAGCUGUACCCUCUCCAUAGGCAGGAAAGCCGCCUCUAGGUCACGACUCGACGUGAACAGAAGCCAAGAAUCCAGGGAGGCUCGGUAGGUCUCUUAGUCAACGUGUAGCUUGACCUUGGGACUAGGUCACACAGGGCAUGAGUGACGAAUUGGCAUGUGGUAACUGGCUACCCACACCUAGGGCAGCCAGUCACUGUGGCCUGGAGAGCUCAGUGGCUCCCAGGCCACAGGUAGAAGCGGAAGCACCUGUCACCCUAGAGGAUCCGGCAGGGGCGCAGAGAGAUGUUCGCAGGGCCUCGUCCUGGCACUUGGAGGCCUGUGGCUUUGCGAAAAGAGGGUGGAGGUCACCCUCAGCCUGAACACCUGUGACUUAGCUAUGGGGACAGUGGAGUGGCACGGUUUUAAAAGUGCCUUGGCCAGGCAGGGAGCCUGGAACGGAAGACUGAUGACUGUUCUCCGACUGCCUCUCAGGACCUCCUGAAGAUGCCUGGCUGAGCUCUGAGUGGAGGGUCACAGGACCUGUUAAUAAGCAGAGUGGGUGUGAGUCCUGCAGGCCUGAGAGGCUGCUGAUCCCUGGCUCCAUGACUUGUUGAUUGAAGAGAACUUGGAGACUCUUUCUCCAGUGCCAAGCACAUGGGUCGACCUCUGUCAGCCUGGGCUGCCAUAGCACAACCCCAGGGACCGUGGAAAUUUCUUCUCACACUUCAGGAGUGUGGGAAGCCUGGGAUCGAGGAUCUGGCAAGGUCGGGUGGGGUGGGGGGAGUUUGAGAGAGAAGGCAGGCAAGCUCUCUGGCGUCUUUUUUUUUUUUUGGUGGUGGUGGUUCUCUUUAGGGCUGCAACCAUGACAUAUGGAGAUUUCCAGGCUAAGGGUGGAAUCAGAGCUGUAGCUACUGGCCUACACCACAGCCACAGCAACGCCAAAUCCAAGCUGCGUCUGUGACCUACACCAUAGCUCAAGGCAAUGCCAGAUCCUUAACCCAGUGAGCAAGACCAGGGAUCGAACCUGCAUCCUCAUGGAUGCUAGUCAUAUUAGUUUUCGCUGAGCCGCUGACCUGGGAACUCCCUGGUGUCCCUUCUUAAGAGGGCACUAAUCCCAUCAAACCAGGGCCCCACCCUCGUGACCUCAUCUGACCCUAAUUACUUGCCCAGCUUCAUCUUCAGAUGCCGUCUUGUUGGGGGUUGGAUACAUGAUGUUCAGAGCACUAAUGUUGCUUGUCCAUAACAAAACCCGCCCGGAGAUUGUGGUCCUUCCAGACCUUUCCUUAUACAACAGUCGGAAAGGACCCCCUUCCCAGGGAAGACAGUUGGCAGCAGCCGUGUCCGCCCUCCUCUAGCUGAACAGAGGCGGAUCACAUGGCUGUGUCUGUGUCUCUCCAACAAGCGCCCCUGCCCCUCCCUCCUCCUGGGAGCCCCCCCUCCGCCUGCCACCCACCUGGCUUCCUCUGCCAGCAGCUCGUGGUCACCUCUCCCACUGCCCUCUCCUAGAGAGAGUCCCCUCGGGUGGCUGGGGAGAUCCCAACUGCUGUCCCUUAACCUGUACCGCGAGUCAGAAGCACUUUGUGUAUUGGUUUCCUUGUUGAGCACCUGCACGUGCCCUCUGCCGCCGGCACCGUGGGCUUGCGACAGCAGGGACCUUACCCUUCAAGACUGUUUCUCUAUCCCCCCCUCCCCCCCAAAAACUCGGGGGGUCUGCAGACAACAGUAGGUAUCACUAAGUAAGUGCUGAUGAAUCCCAAGUCCCACAGAAAGUGAGGGGACGGGGGAGAGCCCCCUCCUGUGGGCUGCUCACGGGGAGGGGUGGGGAGGAGGUGGUAGGUGGACCCGUGGAUGGGGAGGAAGGUAAGACGGCCCUUUGGCUCUGGGAAGAAACACAUUCGGAUGAAGACUUUGGUUUUGGACAUGCGAGCUGCUUUGGAGAGGACUCCCUGGUGGUCUCGUUCUCGUAGGUCAGAUCCCUCGCUGUCAGGAAGUUCUUGAUGUUGGACCCGAGGGCUGAGCUUCCCCUGCUGUCAGUAGGACCCCUGUCCACUCUUUCUCAUCGUCCUUUAUAAAUCUACCUUUGGGGAAAGAUGACGCAACUGAAAAACAGUCACACUUCCCAUUUUCUAGGGCGGGUUUGUCCUGAAAGAUGUGAAAUGGUCCUGGCGGGUGUUGAAGUCUUGGGCUUUGGGCCCCUGGGUGGCUCUGGGUCUGGGUUGGGCUUAGGGAAGUGUCGCAGGUUCUCCUCUGAGCGGGAGGGGGUGGAAGAUGCAGGGCCAAGUGCUUCGGGGGAGCACCUUUCCCCUACGUGCUGCGAUUUCAAGCUUCACUGCCUGAGUCCCCACGGAACAGGUGCUGUUCCGGAAGCUUUGCUGUGCAGACACGCACCCUGCACACAUGUAACGGCGUUGCAACGGGGCCAGACCUCAUGGUCGGUGCCAGAUCACCCAUGAAGGCAAGUGCACUGUGGUCCCAGGGCGGCGGGGGUGGGGGGGGGACAUGAAAUUGAGUCCCGUGGAUGGAAUGAACCUGGAUCCCAGGCUUCCCAGCCUCCUGGAGUGUGAGAGGUAAUUUCCGUGGUCCAGGGGGAAGAGGCAAGAGAAAAGGCUUUGCAAGGAGGCCAGACAGGGUCCUGGAAGCAAUGCCCUUUCAAGAGGCUCUGCAGUGCCAGCCGUGCUUUUGGCCCGGGGUCCCUCAAGGCCUGGGCCAUCCAGGGCCUUUAUCCGGCUCCUUCCCAUGUGGCAGCUGCGCAAGCGGAGCACGAGGUGCCACCUGUUCCCCGGACUGGCCAGCGUGCCCAGCUCCGAGCAGCAGUUCAUUCCUCCCCCGGGCCGUGCCCCUGAGGUGCCACGGAGCGGGGGGGCGGUUCGCUUGGGCCCCCUUCCCUCCGUGCACAGAAAGCAGAAAUGAAGGGCCGCGCUCGCCGCCUUUGAAGUCGAGAGCCGUGGGUCGCAGGGAAUUCUCUUGGCUGAGUCACAAAGGGAAUCCAACGCCAUCCUAAGGAGCGCAGCUUUAGAUUUUCACUUGAUCCUCCAAAUGCAAGAUUAGGCGCACAAUUCUGGUUGAGACGGUUAAGCGGGCGCCUGUAUAAUUGAAUUUCAUGCUCAUUAUUUCCCUCUGAAGCGGUCCACGCAGGCAGUCAUUGGAAAGCAGGGUUCAUAAAUACACUGGCGAGGGCCUCGCUGAACUUCACGGCUUUCCAGAAUCUUCCAGGCCCUUCCAGCGUCCAUAGGCACUGCCAUACAGCUGGUACAAAGACGGAUGCAGCCCGUGACCCCGCCAGCUCCAAGACCAGCGUCUCCUCCAUCACACGCUUGUCAUGGGCUUUAAACAUCUUCUUUUCUGCCCAAGAGGAGACGUGGCCCAGGGGGUCCUUUGUGCUGCCGUGGACAGGCUGCUUGCCCGCAGCUUUGGCAUCUUGUCACUGAGCUGUGUCGGAGGCCAAUGUGAUGCUUGGGUUGUGGGGGCAGCUGGGAGGUUAUAGGAAAUCUCUGGGCCUCCUGCUCAGUUUUGCUGUGCACCUGCAAUUUCUCUCAAGAGUCAGAACAUCUUUUUAAAGAAUGUAUACUGGAGUCGGUGUCCAGAUAAAAGUGGGCUCUGGUGGCCCCCGUCCGAGCCCUUGCUUCGUCUUGGCUGCUCAGUUUCUUUUUUAAAGGGAGGCCUAGAAGAGACGGUGCAAUGCGAAUGAAUGAACUGUCUGCAGACACCAUAUGGGAUUCGGACAUUGCCGUGUUCUAGAAAUUGCAGCUCGAUUUGAAACUGACAUUGUCUGUGGAUCCCAUGAGGGGCGUCCUCCCAGGUGGGGAGAUGAGGGGGCUGCUUUUUUGGGCCCUGAGGUGUCCUCAGUAAGUCUGGGGGCAAGUAAUGUUCCUUCCCCCCAAAGGCUUCUAUUGCCGCAUCCUGGCAAGGCUCCUCCAGCACUUUCUCCCGAAGCAAGUUCAGGGUUCAUGGGUCUCAGGUAUUGACUCCAAGGCCCGAUACUUCUCCUUUUUGUGUGUUUGUUUUUAAAUUUAAAAAAAAAAUGUUAUUAGAGUACAGUUGCUUUACAAUGUUGUGCCAAUUUCUGCUGUACAGCAAAAAGUGACCUCUGUGUGUGUGUGUGUGUGUGGUUCCCUGUGCUAUGCUGGGCGUCUCCUUUGAGACAGAGGAAAGGAAGGAACUGCCAUGUCUUGAGCCCCUACAGUGUGCCAAGCCCUGCAGCCAUGUCUCCCGGGCCUGACCUCAGAGGAGUACAGGUCAUUGCCCUUACCUGUGCUGCUCAAACUUCCUCCAGGGAAAGACCAGGGGGUUUCAUUCUUCUGCAUCAGCCCCAGCCUGUGUGGUCAAGAUGUGCCUGAUGGUCAGAGAAAGAAAGCAAGUCAUGCAGCCUGGAAGCCCUGCAAUCCCCCUUCAGGUCAGGAUAGCUCCAGCACCACUGGUUCACCAACAGAAACU
rnacentral:lncRNA from 1 species